ACGCUGGCGGCGUGCCUAAUACAUGCAAGUCGAACGGUCUUUUCUAUGGAAGCUUGCUUCCACUGAGAAGAUAGUGGCGAACGGGUGAGUAACACGUGGGUAACCUGCCCAUAAGAGGGGGAUAACAUCCGGAAACGGGUGCUAAUACCGCAUAGUUUUCUUGAUCGCAUGAUCGGGAAAGGAAAGACGGCCUUUGUGCUGUCGCUUAUGGAUGGACCCGCGGCGUAUUAGUUAGUUGGUGAGGUAACGGCUCACCAAGACGAUGAUACGUAGCCGACCUGAGAGGGUGAUCGGCCACAUUGGGACUGAGACACGGCCCAAACUCCUACGGGAGGCAGCAGUAGGGAAUCUUCCGCAAUGGACGAAAGUCUGACGGAGCAACGCCGCGUGAGUGAAGAAGGGGUUUUCGGAAUCGUAAAACUCUGUUGUCAGAGAAGAACAAGUUGGAGAGUAACUGCUCCAGCCUUGACGGUAUCUGACCAGAAAGCCACGGCUAACUACGUGCCAGCCGCCGC
rnacentral:rRNA from 1 species